rnacentral:rRNA from 1 species
GACAUAGGUGGCGAACGUUAUCCGGAAUUAUUGGGCGUAAAGGGUGCGUAGGUGGUUUAAUAAGUUACUGGUGGUAAAUCGGGGCUCAACCUCGUGGAAGUCAGUAAUACUAUUAGACUAGAGGACCGGAGGAGUUAACGGAAUGGCUCAUGUAGGGGUAAAAUCCGCAAAUAUGAGUUAGAACACCAAUUGGCGAAGGCAGUUAACUAUUCGGUUCCUGACGUUGAGGCACGAAAGCGUGGGGAGCGAACAGGG